rnacentral:rRNA from 1 species
UCGAGAAUCUUCCGCAAUGGGCGAAAGCCUGACGGAGCGACGCCGCGUGACUGAUGAAGUCUUUCGGGAUGUAAAGGUCUUUUAUGAGGGAUGACAUAGCGACAGUACCUCAUGAAUAAGGGGCUGCUAAUCACGUGCCAGCAGCAGCGGUAAUACGUGAGCCCCAAGCGUUAUCCGGAAUUACUGGGCGUAAAGUGUGCGUAGGCGGUCUAGUUAGUCUCUUGCUAAAUCCAUCGGCUCAACCGGUGAACUCCAAGGGAAACGGCUAGACUAGAGGGUGCGAGAGGUCUGUGGAACUCAACAUGUAGGGGUGAAAUCCGUUGAUAUGUUGGGGAACACCAAAUGCGAAGGCAACAGACUGGCGCAUUCCUGACGCUGAGGCACGAAAGCGUGGGUAGCG